UACAGAGGUGGCAAGCGUUGUUCGGAAUUAUUGGGCGUAAAGAGCUCGUAGGCGGUGUGUCGCGUCGGCCGUGAAAACUUGCAGCUUAACUGUGGGCGUGCGGUCGAUACGGGCAUCACUGGAGUUCGGCAGGGGAGACUGGAAUUCCUGGUGUAGCGGUGAAAUGCGUAGAGAUCAUGAGGAAGACCAGUGGCGAAGGCGGGUCUCUGGACAGUUCCUGACACUGAGACACGAAGGCCAGGGGAGCAAACAGG
rnacentral:rRNA from 1 species